ACGCAAUAGAUACCCUGGUAGUCCACGCCCUAAACGAUGUCUACUAGUUGUCGGGUCUUAAUUGACUUGGUAAACGCAGCUAAACGCGUGAAGUAGACCGCCUGGGGAGUACGGUCGCAAGAUUAAAACUCAAAGGAAUUGACGGGGACCCGCACAAGCGGUGGAUGAUGUGGAUUAAAUUCGAUGCAACGCGAAAAACCUUACCUACCCUUGACAUGGAUGGAAUCCCUGAGAGAUUGGGGAGUGCCCGAAAGGGAACCAUUACACAGGUGCUGCAUGGCUGUCGUCAGCUCGUGUCGUGAGAUGUUGGGUUAAGUCCCGCAACGAGCGCAACCCUUGUCAUUAGUUGCUACGAAAGGGCACUCUAAUGAGACUGCCGGUGACAAACCGGAGGAAGGUGGGGAUGACGUCAAGUCCUCAUGGCCCUUAUGGGUAGGGCUUCACACGUCAUACAACGGUACAUACAGAGGGCCGCCAACCCGCGAGGGGGAGCUAAUCCCAGAAAGUGUAUCGUAGUCCGGAUUGUAGUCUGCAACUCG
rnacentral:rRNA from 1 species